AGGACUAACGCUGGCGGCGUGCCUAACACAUGCAAGUCGAACGAGGUAGCAAUACCUAGUGGCAGACGGGUGAGUAACACGUGGUCAACCUGCCUCCGUGUGGGGGAUAACUAGCCGAAAGGUUAGCUAAUACCGCAUACGAUCGCUUAAAGGCAUCUUUGAGCGAUGAAAGGAGUAAUCCGCACGGAGAGGGGACUGCGUCCCAUUAGUUAGUUGGUGGGGUAACGGCCUACCAAGACUCCGAUGGGUAGCUGGCUUGAGAGAGCGACCAGCCACACUGGAACUGAGACACGGUCCAGACUCCUACGGGAGGCAGCAGUGAGGAAUUUUCCGCAAUGGGCGCAAGCCUGACGGAGCGACGCCGCGUGUGGGAAGAAGGCCUUCGGGUCGUAAACCACUGUCGAAGGGGACGAUAUUGACGGUACCCUUGGAGGAAGCCCGGCUAACUACGUGCCAGCAGCCGC
rnacentral:rRNA from 1 species